CUCGGCGAAGUACACCGUCUUCUGGCACACCGCACAGCUCUUUCCCCCUCCCCAGUUCGGCAUGGUGCGCUGGGACGAGAAGGGAAGAGAUGAGCUUCUGCAAAAGGGAGGAAGCGGUGGCAAGUCCUUCCUGUCUCUGUACCAUGCAGUGCUGCAGGAAGGUGAUGCUGAUUGGAGGAGAGGCGUAUCUCUCUCUCUGGUGAAAUCCAGUUACCUGUGGGCACUUCCCAUGACAUGGACCAGAGCCAGGGCUGCAGAUGGGCUCGGUUGAGCGAUGGCUUUCUUGAUGCCCUCUUUAAAAUGGCCACUGUAAUGCACCUGACGGCCGUCUGUCUUGCAAAUGGCGCUGUGCAGAAGAUAAAAGAUUGACGGAUGGCUGUCUAAUGGUGCUGCCUUCAGCUUUGCUUUAUUCCUCUGCUGAUAGAGCCACUCAGCAGACCUGCGCUUUAUGACUGCGGGAGAGAGGUCUGCUCGUCUUCAGAGAGCAAGACCUCAGGCCGUCCGGCCAUUCCUGUUAGAGGAACGAAGGCCCUGGAGAGAGUGGUCCACCUCUUCCUGUCUGACUGCAGUGCUUCCUGUCUACCCGUGGUGUAAUAUGUUUACCACCUGUAACAGUAGGCCUGUCUGUACCACCCACAUACUCAGGGCUCCUGAAAGUCAAACCAGAGGCUGCUGUUCCAUCGAGGGCUCCGGGGCCACAGGCCUGUUUAACAGCGUCGAGUGGAGCUACGGACAGCGUUCGCCAUAAAUCUGCUAAAGAUGUAGAUUAGCAUGACAGAUGGCGGCUGGGCAGUGUACUCUGAUGUCUUUCUUGUGGGACCUCGUCCCACACCUCUGGCUGCUGGUUCUCCACAGAAUUAUUCGACUGGCAUUUAGAAGCGUGACUCGGAGAUGGAUGCAAAGGUCACCCCCCCCCCCCCACCCUUAGUGUUCAGUCAUCCUUACGGUACAGACAGACUGGCUCGAGGAGCGUCAUCAGCGUGUCUGGCUUUCGCGCAUCCAAACCCCCUGGCUACAGAACCGGAGUCAUCGUUAGGCUUAAUGAACACCGCACCAUCACUGGACGGGCGUCUGUCGGAAUGGUACACUCCCCAUCCACUACAGCACAGCUUGAUGCUGCUGAAGACGGGCAUUAUUUCAGCAGGUAAUCGUCCCGAAGGUCAGCGGCGCCUGUGGCGGCGAGACUGUAGCGGCCGUUUGUGAGCGGGAGGACGACCGCGGCGCUGGAGGCGGGGUCAGCGCAGAGGGCGGGGUUUACCCCAGCCAGCCAGCGCCGUCACUCAGGACGUUGUGGGUCAUGUGACUCGGCCGCACGGCUCCUCCCCUUAUUCGACCUCUGCGUCAGGAGGAAGAGCGGCAGUGGCAGCGGCUUCGGGAAACGGCACCGGCAUCCGGACGCUAAUACGCCAGUAAUGGAGAGAAUGAGUGAUCUUGUGUUUUUGUUACUGGGGUUGCCAUGCCAACAGCGAGCUGAGAUGUCUUGCUGGUGAUUGCAGCCUGAUGCUCCUUUCCUUCCUGAUAAUUUUCUUUUAUCAGGAAGGAUAACACGCACGCACGCACGCACGCACGCACACACACACACACACACACACACACACACACACACACACACAAACAUGUUGGAACAGCAGAUUGGAACUGCCAUGACAGACGGACUGCACAGCACCCACACACUCCCUAAUCUUUCGCCACCUGAUAGGCUUUUGCUGUGUUGCUUCCCUUUGUCAUAAUGUAUUCCAAAAGUGUGACACCUCACCCUUAAAAAAAACGUUACAUCGCUGUAUGGGUUGCACGAGGUUUUGGUCCAAGGUGAAUGUUCUCUCUAGCUGGCCUGUCAAGGGCUUCAGUGGUAGAGGGUUUGUGUAAGUUUUAAAAUAAGUUAUCCUUUUUGGCAAACCAUCAGGUAAGCCUAUGCCAAGCAGUAAGCCUCACAAAAAAAAUUAUACAUUUUUUUUAAAACUGCAAAUAUGAGUGGACUGAGUGCCAAACACUAUCAAAUCAAGGAUGAUGCACCACGCAAAUUAAACAUUGGGAAAUGUGUUCAUUGUGUCACUGCUAUAGAACUUAUGGCAAAACCAGCCCCCAUUAGCUUUUUUCUAUCUAAACCGUUUAAUAUUUACUUUAAUAUUUUUAAUUUCAACAAUUGAUAACAUCAAUAAGGCCUUUAGUUUGGCGUUUGUGACCGAUUUAAAUUUAGUUGACUCCAACCAAAUUGCAUUAUAACUAAACGACUUUUUUUAUUUUUAAACCCUCAAUGGGUUGCAGUUGCUCGAACUCUAAAGCUGCAAAGCUUCAGCGGGUUUGCUGUUUGUGUGUGAGUGUGUCCUGAGCAGCAUCGGCUAUAAUUCUCGGUGAGCUAAACGGAAAGGGAGGAAGGUGAUCUAAUUUCCACACUAAAUCCAAUCUGUCCGAAACGGGCGUGCGGAGCGGGCGGCUCAAUCGAUGGCGCUGGGCCGCUGACGUCCGUGUGGAAGCGGCGGUGGAGGGAGGGGGGAACCCGUGCUCGCACACGCAUUGUGUUUCCCUGAAUGGUGCGGACGUCAUAAUAUCGUUAUGUUUUAUCUGGGAUCUUUCUCUAGUGUCUAGACUACGUAAAAGGAUAAAAGUAUGUGUGGUGUUAACCAGUGAAGUGAGAGACAGUGAUGUCACCCAACUACAGAAAGGACAUACCCUGUAUUUGCUAUUUUCUGUGGUCGAAUAGGAAUGUAAGAAAACAAUAUAUGGUGAUAAGAACUGCAUCAGGCCUGGAUUUGAAUGGCCGGAGCGUACCUGCUCCUACUGUAUGACCUGUUACAUUAUUUUUCGAUUGGUUUUGUGGGGGGAAAAAUAAGUGAAGAUAGACAGAGCUCAGAGAGAGUGAGAAUUCCGAAGGCAGCGCGUGUCUGUCUGAUCUGGCGCAUUGCAGAUCUCUGCGGGGUCGGGGUGAGGGGGGGGGGGGGGGGGUGAGAGCACUGACAUUUGAAGGUGAGUCAACAAGGUCACCUUUUAAUGGCGGUGUUCCACCGUGCUGAGGCAGACCCCCCAGUACGCAGAAUAGAGACGUGUUCACCUCCGUCCUUUAGCAUGCUUCCAUACACGCAUCUACGGAUUCAUGAUCUUAUUUAUACAUUUACUCUGAAGUGGGAAUAUGGACUCUAAACAGUCUGGCCUGCCGGUAACCGUCUGGCGUUCCCAGAAUCUCUCCCAUUCAGGCAGUAACUGAGUCCAGCCCCUCCUUGACUCGUCUGUUAGUAUGUUGGGAGUGGAUGACACCAUUCCGUACCAGUAAUAUUUUAUUCAGAAAUAUUUUAUUUACAACAGUGAAUUUUCAGCGCUACAGUAAACUGAACUUUUCGGAUGAUUGCAGAGCCGCAGAAGUCGAUGGCUAUCGUAUCGCCUAUUUGAGCUUGCCUGAUCAAACGGUAAAAUGGACGACUUUACAACUAGAAAUAAACUCGCGACGUUGUAAAUAUUGACAAUGAAGGAUA